UAGACGCAAAAGGGAAUCAGGUUAAUAUUCCUGAACUUUAGACUGUAUGAUAGGUUAUAUAGGUUAAUCCUGAAGAGUGUAAACUAAACUCGUGAUUGAAGACGUGUUAAUGAAAUCCCAGAAGAGUUCUCUUUUCUCUCUAUUGAUUAAAGGAAAUUUCCUGACGACCUCGAAAUUCAUUUGCUUAGUGAAGAGGUUGUGUUAAAGUCAUAAUGGCGAAACCCUUUAAAGUUUCGUGAGGUUCUUUCAUUAAUACCCUUGAAAAUUCAAUUACGCGAAUAUAUCACCGAUUGGUGAACCUUAUCUGCAGUCCAAGCUGUACCACAAACCGCAGCAGGUCUCCAAGGUUAUCAGCCUCUGGUCAAUUAGAACAAUGUGAGUAAGGGAAGUCGGCAAAAUGGAUUUGUACCUUUGGUAAAAAGGUUGGCUCUCGGGAUGAAGCAACUUGGGUUGUGAAGGAAGCGUACUGUCGGUGGAACGAGUUCAAAUGGACUGUUAGUAUUUUCGGAGAACUCAGAAAGUUUGUUCUUUACUACCAGGUGCGUGGGUCUCGCAAGGCAGGGACUGGGGCUGAGGCCCUAAGUCCCGAACGGGGUGCAUGAGUCAUCAACUGGGAACCUAUGGAUCCGGAGGAAUCCGACUGUUUAAUUAAAACAAAGCAAAGAGAUAGGCUUCAAAUUGGUGUAGCCUCUUUGUGAUUUCUGCCCAGUGCUCUGAAUGUCAAAGUGAAGAGAUUCAACCAAGCGCGGGUUAACGGCGGGAGUAACUAUGACUCUCUUGAAACUCGAGAGAGAUAGUGGAGCAUGUAUAUAACAUACAUGUUAUGUCUGCUAGUCAUGUUAGUACAAGAUGCAAGUUCUAACUGGCGACACAACCUGGUACGGGGAAGGCUAAGGUAUUUAAUACUAUGCUAAUCCCGUGGCGAGUCUAUUUUUAAUAGACCGUUGUAACGCGCGGUAAGGUGUGGGUCACAAUUGUGGCUUAAGGGACGUGCUAAACCCCAAGGAAACUUGGAUUAUUACAGGAGCUCUUGCAUAGUAAAUGUAAUAAUGAUCGUAUUUGAAGCUCAAGUAGAAAAUGCCUUGAGUAAGAUCGGUAUAAUUGAAGGUAGCCAAAUGCCUCGUCAUUUAAUUUGUGACGCGCAUGAAUGGAUCAACGAGAUUCCUACUGUCCCUAUUUACUAUCUAGCGAACUUACAGCCAAGGGAACGGGCUUGGGAAUGACAGCGGGGAAAGAAGACCCUGUG
rnacentral:ncRNA from 1 species